UAGGGAAUCUUCGGCAAUGGGGGCAACCCUGGCCGAGCAACGCCGCGUGAGUGAAGAAGGUUUUCGGAUCGUAAAGCUCUGUUGUAAGAGAAGAACGUGUGUGAGAGUGGAAAGUUCACACAGUGACGGUAACUUACCAGAAAGGGACAGCUAACUACGUGCCAGCAGCCGCGGUAAUACGUAGGUCCCGAGCGUUGUCCGGAUUUAUUGGGCGUAAAGCGAGCGCAGGCGGUUUAAUAAGUCUGAAGUUAAAGGCAGUGGCUUAACCAUUGUUCGCUUUGGAAACUGUUAAACUUGAGUGCAGAAGGGGAGAGUGGAAUUCCAUGUGUAGCGGUGAAAUGCGUAGAUAUAUGGAGGAACACCGGUGGCGAAAGCGGCUCUCUGGUCUGUAACUGACGCUGAGGCUCGAAAGCGUGGGGAGCAAACAGG
rnacentral:rRNA from 1 species